rnacentral:rRNA from 1 species
GACGAACGCUGGCGACGUGCUUAACACAUGCAAGUCGAACGGAAAGGCCCUGCUUUUGUGGGGUGCUCGAGUGGCGAACGGGUGAGUAACACGUGAGUAACCUGCCCUUGACUUUGGGAUAACUUCAGGAAACUGGGGCUAAUACCGGAUAGGAGCUCCUGCUGCAUGGUGGGGGUUGGAAAGUUUCGGCGGUUGGGGAUGGACUCGCGGCCUAUCAGCUUGUUGGUGGGGUAGUGGCUUACCAAGGCUUUGACGGGUAGCCGGCCUGAGAGGGUGACCGGCCACAUUGGGACUGAGAUACGGCCCAGACUCCUACGGGAGGCAGCAGUGGGGAAUAUUGCACAAUGGGCGGAAGCCUGAUGCAGCAACGCCGCGUGCGGGAUGACGGCCUUCGGGUUGUAAACCGCUUUCGCCUGUGACGAAGCGUGAGUGACGGUAAUGGGUAAAGAAGCACCGGCUAACUACGUG